AUGCCUUAUCUCUUCCCCUGUUUCAUUCUUCACCUUCAUGCUCAAGAGUUAUCGCUAAACCAUUGUAGCCCUGUUGCACAUCAACAAAACUUGCAUUCAGAAAAAAAACAGUUAAUCAUUAAGAAACUACUAUCAUGCAGUCCAAACAAUUCACAAAUAUGCUACUACUACAAACUAAAAUCCUGCACAUGA